rnacentral:rRNA from 1 species
AUACGUAGGGGGCGAGCGUUGUCCGGAAUGAUUGGGCGUAAAGGGCGCGUAGGCGGCCCGGUAAGUCUGGAGUGAAAGUCCUGUUUUUAAGAUGGGAAUUGCUUUGGAUACUGUCGGGCUUGAGUGCAGGAGAGGUAAGUGGAAUUCCCAGUGUAGCGGUGAAAUGCGUAGAUAUUGGGAAGAACACCGGUGGCGAAGGCGCCUUGCUGGACUGUGUCUGACGCUCAGAUGCGAAAGCCAGGGUAGCGAACGGGAUUAGAUACCCCGGUAGUCCUGGCCGUAAACGAUGGGUACUAGGUGUGGGAGGUAUCGACUCCUUCCGUGCCGGAGUUAACGCAAUAAGUACCCCGCCUGGGGAGUACGGCCGCAAGGCUUAAACUCAAAUGAAUUGACGGGG